UUGCGAUGAUGAGUGUUAGAAGAAUUGAUCGAAAGCAUUCAUUUGGAUGCUGAUGUGAUGCUCAAUCCUGAGCGGUUACCUGAGCAA